UGCUCCCGUCGCCAUGGAGACGGGGACUGAACAAUGAGCAUCCAGAAAUGCAGCAUGGCCGCCUGGCACUGCGGCCCACACUCCCACCAGGCCCCUAGAAGGUUCUCAGAACUCCAGGAAGCCAUCUGCACCGGCUCAGAAGUGGCAGAGGGGGAAUUAAAAAAACAUAUGGUGCAUCAUAAAUAGGACUUCCUUUUAGGAAAUGAGCUGCUGUAAUUAAAUCCCCAUUCAUUUUUUGUAACAUACACACAGAGACAAAUAGAUCUUUAUCCUUUAGAGGCACAGAAGAGAAUGGCUUGUGGGGAACGGAGAU
rnacentral:lncRNA from 1 species